GGAUUCUACGGUUGGUCGGGCUAUCCAGUCUGUACUAGCGUGUAGAAUUUCUACCUUCUGGGGAACCAUCAUGUUAUUAAUUUAGCGUGGUGGGAAACCAGGACCUUUACCUUGAAAAAAUUAGAGUGUUCAAAGCAGGCUUACGUCUGAAUACAUUAGCAUGGAAUAAUAAAAUAGGACGGUGGUCCUGUUUUGUUGGUUUCUGAAUCACCGUAAUGAUUAAUAGGGAUAGUUG
rnacentral:rRNA from 1 species